rnacentral:rRNA from 16 species
GGUACUAGCAAAUAUUCAAAUGAGUACUUUGAAGGACGACGAGGAGAAUGGUUCCAUGUGAACGACAGUUGCACAUUGGUAAAACGAUUCUAAGGGAUGGGGUAACCCCGGCAGAUAGCGCGAUCACGCACAUCCCCCGAAAGGGAAUCGGGUUAAAAUUUCCCGAGCCAGGAUGUGGCGGUUGACGGCGACGUUAGGAAGUCCGAAUACGCCUGCGGGGGCCUCGGGAAGAGUUAUCUUUUCUGCUUAACGGCCUGCCAACCGUGGAAAUGGUUCAGCCGGAGGUAGGGUCCAGUGGAGGGAAGAGCACCGCACGUCGCGCGGUGUCCGGUGCGCCCCCGGCGGCCCAUGAAAAUCCGAAGGACCGAGUACCGUUCACGCCCAGUCGUACUCAUAACCACAUCAGGUCUCCAAGGUGAACAGCCUCUGCCU